CCCCACCAACCCAGCCAAUCCGAUUGCGGCUUUCAACAUCGGCCUCGGUUGGCUUCCCGCUCGCUCAUGCUGACCGCGCAGUGUUCCUGGAAAUGACUGAAUAAGUGCCAAGUCCAACUUUGAGUAAUAGUCUUACAGCCAUUCUCUGACAGCUGCCCUGGCCACAACACUGUAAUUGUUUCCUGAGCAGGAAACAACAGGGUCAAGUUGUCACAGGUAGCAAGCUAACACAUGCACUUUUGCUCAUCACCCUAAUUCAAAUUAAACCAAUCCAUCUGAGUUUUUUUGUUUCUCUACCAAAGGAGAUUUGUUUGCAGAAACAGUCACUGCUUUACCAAGAGAACUGAGAAGGGAAAAGGAACUGCUUUACCAGGAAAAGGCACUAAUACACAAGGUUGAUCCAUUAAGGAGAGCUGGCACUGGUAUGGGCGUUGGUUUCAGAUAAGUAUACUUUACAGCCUCUGAAAUGUCUACUUUACCCGUAGGGCUGGUAUGACUUCCCCUUUUGAGUAAAGGUUUUAGCCACCCUUCUGUCCUCAUACACUUAUGUCCCACCUUGUUAAAUAUGUUCUGUGUUGGCCAGCACUGCUUUUUAUUUGCUUCUAUCCUUUCUUUCUCACUCAGAACAGAAUGCAGUAGACACAGCACAUAAAGGAAACACCUAAAGGAAAACAUCAGUCUGCAAAAACAGGGCAUUGCUGGAAACAGGGGUGAACUAAUUAAAGAGGAGACUAAAACAAAGGUUUUCCCCUUCAGAGGUGCUCUGCAAGUGAUUUUUUUUAACUGAACUUGUUCCCUUUUUUACUUCCUAUGAUACAAAGAACUUAGAAAACUUUUUCCUUUAUUAAAGAUUGUUCUGUUCAUUAUCUUAAGUGCCAGGAAUGUCAACUCUACUCUUCCCUAGUUUUGCUGCAAGAUCCACUUGAUAUCUCAAAGAAUGUAUAUUGUUAACUCUUACACCCUAACUUAACGGAUGGAAGAUGGUGAAUCUUUACUGUUUUGGAGAAAGAGUAUUGCUAGUGAUUCAAGUUAAAAAGGUGUUAACAAAAAAAAUUUAAACAGUCAUCAGACCUAUUUCCUGUUAUUUGUUUAAAUGUUAUUUCAAUCUUGGCCUACGUUUUCCAAACAUGGAUGCCUGAAGUUAGGUGCCAAAAACCAUAUUUAGCUCCUAAAAUAAAAAGUGGUGAUAGGUACUGGCAGCUCCUAGUGACUUCAGUAUGUGAAGAGAGGAUAUUCGUGAAACCUACAGAAGAAUUCUGUGUAUGAGGUCAAAAUAUUGCAACACAUGGAAUAUUGCAACAGUUUGUAAAUGAUGUGAUAAAGAAGUAGCUGGAUAUGGGUAGGAGGCUAUUACAUCAAAUUCAACACAGAACACAGCCUAUAAACAAAAGAGAUCAUACUGGAUUAUUUCCUUCUGAAUGAUCAUUUUAAAACAAUAUGAUAUCAGCACUGGCCAUGGCCAUUAUGAGUUUCAGAGUGUACAGUUAAAAUGCUAAUGGAUAUGAAAAGGGAAACUUGGCAACCAGUAGAACACUGAUUUUUUUUUUUAAAGCAAAAUGUUAAUUUAGAAGGUAUACUUAUGUGCUGGUCUCUUAUUACCCUUGCACUACCAUGUGUCCCUAUUAUAAGCUUCUCUUUGUUUCUCACAGCUAAUACAAUGAAGGGGGAGGCAAUGGCAAAUAAUGGGCUGAGUGACAUCAGACUGAAAAUGCAGAUGUCAGACAAAACGGAUAUACAGCUUGGCUAACGAAGCCAGAGCCUGCAGCAAGAAGUUGUCAAUAAUGCUUUGCUAUAUCAAGUUAUUUAACAUUUACAAAAUUCACUGCAAAAAUUUACUGUUAAUGCAACAUCGUUGUUGAGAAUUUACAGUAUCUGCAAAGGAGACAGGAAAUUCAGACUACUCCAGCUGUAACAAAACGCUCAGCAGCUCAGGUUGCUAUGUGUAUGUCAUUCUGGUGCUCCAGUCACUCAGCUGGCUUGCCAUUGAAUAAAGAGUCCAAUUUAAGGUCUCCAGCUUCAUAUUCAAGCUCUCAGUGGAAUCAGCCCAUGCAACUCGAGAGAUUGCCUCUCCCCAGAGUCCUUGACCUCUCAUGCCAGCUGCAGUCCACCAGAAAUAUCAGACUAUCAACCAAUAGCUCCUAAAGCUUUUAAAACAGCCUAAAGCAUCUAAAUUUCUAAUCUGGAAUUAAGGGCAGAGAGUAGAUGCCUCCUGAAUGCCGCCAUCCUGGACUGAGGCAUAUAUCCAUGCUGAUACUGUCCAACUAGGCAGCAAUCAUUUGACAGAGAUGCCAAUUCAAAUCUUUUGGUGAAGGCAAACAAUUGCCUAUCACGGAUUAUUAUUAUUUUUAUAUUCCAGAAGCCUCAAUCAGAUGUAGGCACCCUACAAACAUAUUAGAAGAUUGAAACUUCCCUUAAGAGCUUACAAACUAAAUAGACAAAUCAGAUGAAGAGUGAAGGAAAAGGAAUCACGCACACAAGCCGUAGUCAGUGAUAAGUGGCUAUGUGAUGUUAACUACAUAUGUUUUUUAAAAAACUUUUUUUUUGUUGUUUUUUAAAAUAUAAAUUUGGGAAUAGGGCAAGGGGGGAAGGAGAUGAUGUAAUAGAAGCACACGAAUAGUAGGAAAAGGAAGGAAGGGCAAGACAAUAUUGAGAAGGGAGGGAGGAAAAGGGAGAGAAAUACAGGAAGGAUGGAAGGGAACACUAUGUUUUCUAGGUAUGAAAGGAACAACUGCAGAGCAGUUCCUGGCAGAUCAUCAGUAUCACUAGUCAGCCUAAGCAGCAACCCAUGAUCAGUGGAAUUGAUUCCAAAAUCUGUUGAGAGGUCCAGCAUGAGAAUAAAUGCCAGUUGACCUCAAAUUAACAAACGAUCAGUGCCGUAACAAGGGUGAGGCGAGUGAGGCACUUGCCUCAGGCGCACAAAGCUGAGGGGCACAGAAAAAGACAAAUUAAGUUUUUUAAUUCUUAUUAUUUUAUGAAAAAUUAUAAUCACAUAAUAUGCACAUUGCGUCAUGACAAAUGCACAAUGUAAAUGGAAAAUAAACAGAAUACACCCUACAGUAAUUAUAAAGCAUUGGUUCUCAAACUGGGGGUCGCAACCCAGUUACGGGGGGGUAGUGAGCCCCAACCCCGGCUGCAAGUUGCAAGGCCUGAGCCCCCCGCCUGGCUGUGAGCCCCGACCGCGACGCAUGGCUGCGAGCCCCACCCCCUGUGUGGAGCUGUGGGGCUACGAGCCCCAACUGCUGCGCCAGGCUGUGAGCUCUGACCCCGACAGGGACGCACGCAGUGUUGAGCUCCCAAAAUCCUAAGAACCAGUUGCCUACCAGGUCCUCGGUGGCAUUUCGGUGACGGGG